rnacentral:lncRNA from 1 species
UAAUUUAUGUAUGUUUCUCUGUCCUGAUAGGAUGGUUGGAAAUUUGUUUGAAGCUUCCUUCUGGAAUUUGAAGAGUCAGUUCAUUUUGAUGACACUGAAGGGAAGUACCCAAGACAUCUCCAGAGGAAGGAGCUUCCCUAUAGUUACUGAGUUGUCCAGUCAUCAGCCAGAGAAGAAUGUUUAUCACAUAUCAGAUGAUGCCUGAAAGGACCUUAAAGAAAAAUGGUUGUUCAAACACUCUAUUGAGGAUGCAGCCAGAAUGAUUUGAUGAGCUUUCUCUUCCUCCUAGAAUUAAUUACAAUUUUAAAGCCUGGCAGCUGGAUUUUAUAUUGCAACUUUCUUCAAUUAAAUCUACAUUUUUUUUGGUCUUACUUCAUGUCAUCCCACUAAUUGGCUCCAACAUCUACUUGUGCCAAUUGCCACCAUGAUCGUGUUUUUAAAAAAUUAAAAAGCCAUU